GGCGUCGUAGCCAAGUGGCUAAGGCGGCGGAUUGCAAAUCCGCUAGUCCCCGGUUCGAAUCCGGGCGACGCCU
rnacentral:tRNA from 1 species